UGGGGAAUCUUGCGCAAUGGUCGAAAGACUGACGCAGCGACGCCGCGUGUGGGAGGACGCCUUUCGGGGUGUAAACCACUGUUGCCCGGGACGAACUGCUUCAUUCGUGAAGCUUGACGGUACCGGGUGAGGAAGCACCGGCUAACUCCGUGCCAGCAGCCGCGGUAAUACGGAGGGUGCGAGCGUUGUCCGGAAUCAUUGGGCGUAAAGGGCGCGUAGGUGGCCCGGUCAGUUCGUGGUGAAAGCGCGGGGCUCAACCCUGCGUCGGCCAUGAAUACUGCCGCGGCUGGAGCACUGUAGAGGCAGGCGGAAUUCCGGGUGUAGCGGUGGAAUGCGUAGAGAUCCGGAAGAACACCGGUGGCGAAGGCGGCCUGCUGGGCAGUUGCUGACACUGAGGCGCGACAGCGUGGGGAGCAAACA
rnacentral:rRNA from 1 species